AUGGAUUCACAGAAAAUCCAUAUUACGAGAUUUUCCGGCCAUGUACACGAGGACCCCCAGAAGUUUCUCGAUGAAUUGGAUAGCUACCUGAUACUUCACGGCAUUAAAGUAACAUCGACAGACCGUAAGUGUGCUGCUUUUCACCUACAUCUACAAGGACCGGCUUUGUCCUGGUACCAACGACUGGCCGACACAUAUAACAACAACCGUUGUUUCCACAUUGACGUUGAGAAGUUCCACUCAUUGAGAUUGCAACCAAAUAAACGCAUUGAGGACUUUUAUGCAACAGUGGUCGAUCUGGGAACGAGAUUGGAGGUUGCUGACAGAGACAUCAUGCACCGUUUCAUCGCGGGCCUCCCAGACCAGCUGGCGUUUUUCGUUCGGGCAGGCCGACCCAUCGAUUUGGCCCAGGCUUUUGAAUCCGCCCUGUCUGGCGCCGCAAGUGGUUACAGGAAAUCUGACCCUCCAGAGCUGUUGCAGCCCACUGCUGCCCCAGAGACUUGUACUACCAUACCUUUGGCUGCUGCUGCCACACAGCCCUCCAUUGACAACCCCGUUAGGAAGAUUGAGUUGCUCUCUACCCAAGUAGACGACCUUCGUCAGCUUAACUCUCGCAACCAGGACCGCCACAUCCCACGAGGAGGAUUCCGCAUGUAG
rnacentral:sRNA from 1 species